UACCUCGUCGGGCUGUACGUCGCCGCCGUCGCCACCGCCGACGCGGCGUCCUCCGGCGCCGGCAGCAGCGGCGGCAGCUGCACCGCCGCCGCCCCUCGCUGCUCCCGCAGCUUCACGCCGGCGUCCAGGAUCGCCUCCAGAUUAGAUUAUGCGUCGGCGAGGAGUGGUGCAGGGGACGGAGGAGGAAGAAAGGCUCCCGCCAUUAUAUCCACCUCGAGCAGAGGCAGAGCUAGCACCAUAUAUAUUUUUUUUCUAAAUUAUCUCUUUUUCCUGAAUUUAUUUAUCUUUUCAAAUUUUUAUUCUCCUUGUUUUUCUUUACAAAUUUUAAUUAUAUUGUAAGAGGAAAUAUCUGUAUUAUUGCUCUGUUUUUUAUUUUUUUCAGAGUCUAUUGGAUUCUACGGCGGUUAUGGUGUUGGCUAUCUAAUCUAUCUCCUUGGAGGGAUACGGGAGGAGAGGAAUAAAGCGCGGCAAAAAAAGAGAAGAAAAGGGAGAAUAUAUAUAUAUAUAUAUUUUUUCACAUUUGUGCGUGUGCGUAGCUAGUAUACGUGGUAGCUACAGCAUAUGCUGUGAUAUGCCCGUGUGUAGUAGUGGAACAGUACUAGAAGGCUACUAGUGGGCCGUCGGCCAAUGGAUGGGCCGGCGAGGUGCGUGCAUGGCAUUGGCACACGUAUCAACCAAGGACAUGAUGGGAGUAGAAUUGCAUAUGCCCCUAGCAUAUGCCAUCUUUGAUUA